GUCUGGGAUACCACUUGGAAACAGGUGCUAAUACCGGAUAAGAAAGCAGAUCGCAUGAUCAGCUUUUAAAAGGCGGCGUAAGCUGUCGCUAUGGGAUGGCCCCGCGGUGCAUUAGCUAGUUGGUAAGGUAAAGGCUUACCAAGGCGAUGAUGCAUAGCCGAGUUGAGAGACUGAUCGGCCACAUUGGGACUGAGACACGGCCCAAACUCCUACGGGAGGCAGCAGGC
rnacentral:rRNA from 1 species